rnacentral:rRNA from 1 species
AUUGAACGCUGGCGGCAGGCCUAACACAUGCAAGUCGAGCGAGCGGCGGACGGGUGAGUAAUGUAUGGGGAUCUGCCCGAUAGAGGGGGAUCACUACUGGAAACGGUGGAUAAUACCGAAAACUCACGGGUGAACCCAUAUGGGAUUAGAUAGUAGGUGGGGUAAAGGCUCACCUAGGCGACGAUCUCUCGCUGGUCUGAGAGGAUGAACAGCCACACUGGGACUGAGACACGGCCCAGACUCCUACGGGAGGCAGCAGUGGGGAAUAUUGCACAAGGGUCUCAAGCCUGAUGCAGCCAUGCCGCGUGUUUGAAGAAGGCCUUCGGGUUGUAAAGUACUUUCAGCGGGGAGGCGUUACCCGCAGAAGAAGCACCGGCUAACUCCGUGCCAGCCGCCGCGGUAAUAC